rnacentral:lncRNA from 1 species
CCACGACUAAUAGCCACGCCGAACGUGGAUUUUGAAGGGAUGCACUGCUGAAGUUAGAGCAUGGUACCGGAUCUAGGAGUGACAUGGAGAGACCCAGAGAGAGGCAGAAAGCAAAUAAUUUUCAAGCCGACGCUGGAUAUUUAUCCACCACAAGAUUAAUCUACAUUCUUCGGCUCAUCGGAUGGCUAUGCACGAGGUCAGUAGUUUUUGGGUCUAGUGAUAUUUGGACCACAUGCUUCAUUUGGACUAAAUGCAAGCACUAUUUCUGGCCAAGCGUGCGUAAUUUUUUAUUUUUUAUUUUCUUAUUAUGGGAAAACACAUUUAAAUCUAAAAUGCAAAUGAUAAUAGCUGCGGUUUACAUGAUCUCUAUGGGCCCCAAUAUAUUUUAACAUGAAUUAUACUAACAAAACAGUUUCAUAUAUGUUAAGAAUUUUUGAAGUGAUUUGCUAUUUUCUAAGGUUUUAAUGUGUGAUGCACUAGCUCACAUACUUAUCUACUGUGGAGGCACAAAAAUAAGUUUUAGCAUAUUUAUUUCCCUGUCUGCAUACCAUAAAUAUGGAAAGCAUAAAAAAAUAUUGAUCCUGUUAAAAGAUAAAUGAGUAUAAGAAAUUUCUAGAUUCUCAAAGCUUAUUUGUUUAGUACUAGCGCUUAAUCAGUUCCACAAGCUUUGUUGUCUAUUUAGCUUCAUAGGUUUUAAAGG